AGAGAUGCAAAUGCAGGCUAUGGCUUCUAGACAAGAAAGAGCGGAAAUGGUGAACUCUUACGCAGAACCUUAUAAAAGCCUACAUGCUAAUUCUCCCAGUAAUCGGAAGUCUCCAGAAAUACUUCAUCAGAUCCAUCAGUAGCAGGAGACUGAGACUAAAUACUUUCCAAUCUUCUUCAAUGUGACAUUUGGAUGAACAUUUUUGAAUAAGGAGUGUUUCCUCAGAGUGAACUGGAAGAAAUGACACUAAUACAGAAGUUUGAAGAAUCUGGAAGUUUAAUCAAGAUGUUACAACCAAACUGUUAAAUAUGUUAAAUGUUUAUUUCUGAUUCGACUAAAGCUCAGGGUGCAGAAACAUUGAGUUAUCAGGAACAGUAUGUAGAUGUAGGGCAACAACAAACCAUUAUUUGUUUUUAUUACUUUUUUAAUGAAUGCAUGAACUACUGUGGUUUAGUGGUUAGCUACUAAAACACAACAGAACUUAUUAUAAUAAAUGUGAGUCAAGAAUAAUGAUGAGACACAGAUGAUCCCAGUAAAUAUCAAAGAAAAACCGUUAGUGAGAUACAAGUCAGCUAAAGUUCAGAUUUAUUGAGUUUAAUGAGGAAACAGUGUUGUUAUGUCGUGGGUUUGUUCCUUUAACUACUUCUAUAAUAUCCAGUGAGUCUUUGGGUUAAAGGUCUGUUCAUAGUCCAUCAUUCUUAGGUUACUCUGUAUCUCUAUCAAUUAUAAAACAAUUAGUGGGUAUUUAAUAUGAUCUAAGCAGUUAUUAAAAUGAUCAUUAUAAGAGUCAUGAUUUUACUCAUGAUUUUUAGGUGUUUUAUUUCCAUCCUGGACUUCAUCUGUUU